UACGGAGGGUGCAAGCGUUGUCCGGAAUCACUGGGCGUAAAGGGCGCGUAGGCGGCUCAUGAAGGCUGUGGUGAAAGUCCGGGGCUCAACCUCGGAUCGGCCGUGGCGACUCGUGGGCUGGAGCACUGUAGAGGCGGGUGGAAUUCCGGGUGUAGCGGUGGAAUGCGUAGAUAUGCGGAGGAACACCGAUGGCGAAGGCAAUCCCCUGGGCCUGCACUGACGCUCAUGCACGAAAGCGUGGGGAGCAAACAGG
rnacentral:rRNA from 1 species